rnacentral:rRNA from 1 species
UAGCAUAUCAAUAAGCGGAGGAAAAGAAACCAACAGGGAUUGCCCCAGUAGCGGCGAGUGAAGCGGCAAGAGCUCAGAUUUGAAAUCUCAUCCCUCACGGGGUGCGAGUUGUAAAUUGCAGGUUGGGAAAUCUCGGAGUAGCAUGUGUGUGCAAGUCCCUUGGAACAGGGCGCCACUGAGGGUGAGAGCCCCGUAGCGUGCAUGUGGUGCUUCUAUGAGAUCCCUUCUGACGAGUCGAGUUGUUUGGGAAUGCAGCUCUAAGUGGGUGGUAAAUUCCAUCUAAGGCUAAAUAUUGGCGAGAGACCGAUAGCGAACAAGUACUGUGAAGGAAAGAUGAAAAGCACUUUGAAAAGAGAGUGAAACAGCACGUGAAAUUGUUGAAAGGGAAGGGUAUUGGGCCCGACAUGGGAUUUACGCAUCGUUGCCUUUCGUGGGCGGCGCUCUGGGUUUUUCCUGGGCCAGCAUCGGUUUCCGUUGCAGGAUAAAGACCGAUUGGAAUGUGGCUCCCUUCUUCGUGGGGGAGUGUUAUAGCCAUCGGUAAAUGCUGCGUACAGGGGACCGAGGACUGCGGCGUUCACUCGUCUCGGAUGCUGGCACAACGGCGCAAUACCGCCCGUCUUGAAACAUGGACCAAGGAGUCUAACGUCUAUGCGAGUGUUUGGGUGUAAAACCCGUACGCGUAAUGAAAGUGAACGUAGGUCGGACCGGUGUUAAUAGCCGGGCACGAUCGACCGAUCCUGAUGUUUAUCGGAUGGAUUUGAGUAAGAGCAUAGCUGUUGGGACCCGAAAGAUGGUGAACUAUGCCUGAAUAGGGUGAAGCCAGAGGAAACUCUGGUGGAGGCUCGUAGCGGUUCUGACGUGCAAAUCGAUCGUCGAAUUUGGGUAUAGGGGCGAAAGACUAAUCGAACCAUCUAGUAGCUGGUUCCUGCCGAA